rnacentral:rRNA from 1 species
AGAGGGUGCGAGCGUUAAUCGGAGUUACUGGGCGUAAAGGGCGCGUAGGCGGUUGUUUAAGUGAGCUGUGAAAUCCCUGGGCUUAACCUAGGAACUGCAGCUCAUACUGGACAGCUAGAGUACUGUAGAGGGUAGUGGAAUUUCCGGUGUAGCGGUGAAAUGCGUAGAGAUCGGAAGGAACACCAGUGGCGAAGGCGGCUACCUGGACAGAUACUGACGCUGAGGCGCGAGAGCGUGGGGAGCAAACAGGAUUAGAUACCCUGGUAGUCCACGCUGUAAACGAUGAAAACUAGAUGUUGGUCAGCUUAGACUGAUUAGUAUCGAAGCUAACGCGAUAAGUUUUCCGCCUGGGGAGUACGACCGCAAGG